AGUUGCUAACGCGUGAAGGCGAGCACUCUAGACGGAACUGCCGUUGACAAAACGGAGGAAAGGUGGGGAUGACGUCAAGUCCUCAUGGCCUUUAUGUCCAGGGCUACACACGUGCUACAAUGGGCGGUACAGAGGGUAGCGAUAUCGCGAGAUGGAGCCAAUCCCAAAAAGCCGUUCCCAGUUCGGAUUGGAGUCUGCAACUCGACUCCAUGAAGUCGGAAUCGCUAGUAAUCGCAGGUCAGCAUACUGCGGUGAAUACGUUCCCGGGCCUU
rnacentral:rRNA from 1 species